AUCUGGCUCAGUGACACAGACAAAUUUCUGCUUGCUCUUCUGGAGUUCCACCUGCAACAGGGAGAUGAUCAAAGUAUCGAAAGUCUGGCCUGAGCUGGGAAAUUCAGUAAUGGAGACUCAAUGAUUUGUUCAGUAGAAACCAGACUGUAUUCAGGUCUCCUCUGAGAUUAGAUGGCAAUGGCUACGGAAAGGAGCAGAGUUGGAAAAUGCUGUCCUUUGUAGCAGUUACUAAGGCAAGGCUCUUGUUUGUGUCCUGAACCCACCAUAUUCCAAGUCAAUAAGGUAACAAGCCAAAUCCAGUUGUUCAUCUCUAUACUUGUGUGCAUGUG
rnacentral:lncRNA from 1 species